rnacentral:rRNA from 1 species
AUUGAACGCUGGCGGCAGGCUUAACACAUGCAAGUCGAGCGGUAACAGAGAGAAGCUUGCUUCUCUGCUGACGAGCGGCGGACGGGUGAGUAAUGCCUAGGAAUCUGCCUAGUAGUGGGGGAUAACUUGCCGAAAGGUAAGCUAAUACCGCAUACGUCCUACGGGAGAAAGGAGGGGACCUUCGGGCCUUUCGCUAUUAGAUGAGCCUAGGUCGGAUUAGUUAGUUGGUGAGGUAAUGGCUCACCAAGACCGCGAUCCGUAACUGGUCGGAGAGGAUGACCAGUCACACUGGAACUGAAACACGGUCCAGACUCCUACGGGAGGCAGCAGUGGGGAAUAUUGGACAAUGGGGGGAACCCUGAUCCAGCCAUGCCGCGUGUGUGAAGAAGGUCUUAGGAUUGUAAAGCACUUUAAGUUGGGAGGAAGAGCAGUUAACUAAUAUUUGACUGUUUUGACGUUACCGACAGAAUAAGCACCGGCUAACUUCGUGCCAGCAGCCGCAGUAA